rnacentral:tRNA from 1 species
GCGGGAGUGGCGGAACUGGCAGACGCGCCGGACUUAGGAUCCGGUCCCCGAAACGGGGUUGAGGGUUCGAGUCCCUCCUCCCGCA